rnacentral:lncRNA from 1 species
UUUUCCACAAGCUGGACUGGGUUUGUAAAUGUUGCAGUGAGAAAACUUCAAAGUCAUAAUUUAGAUGCGCCCACUCAUUCCACCUCUAAAAGCUCAGUCCUGCCCUGUGUGCAGACGGCCUCACGUGCAGCCUCACAAGCCCUCAUGCCUCAGUGGGAGCCGGGCCUGGUGCCUGGGCAUUGGAUGCUGGGUCCUCUCAGUCACUGCUCUUUUCAUCGAGGAACGUGAUCCCAGACUUAUCUGGGAUCACAGCUCCUCCCUAGAUAUGUAAGUAACUUCCAGUUCUCUUAGUCCUGACGAUGCCUCGAAAAUUUUAGAGCUUCUACUCUCCACUAAAAAUUGAUGAUUUGGAAAUUAAGAACCCAUUUCUAAUCCCCAUUCUCUAGUGAAUUAAUGUGACUAGUACUCUCUUUUUUUAAAUUCCCUUUGGGAAAUGGAGCUUUUUUUCAGAAUCUCCUCCUGACUGCUAGGCCCCGUUACCAUGAGCUGACUUUCAAAAUUGAACAGAUCUAAGUUCCUAGAGAGCUGGGACCAUAUCUGGUUGGUUAUGGCUGAAUCCCCAGAGCAUCAUGCACAGCUCAUGUUCAGCAAAUAUAUCAUUUUCAAAUGUGUGAAAGGAUGGCUACUCCCUUACCCUGUAUUCCCAAUCACUCUGCUCUACCCAAGGGUUGAGACGGUCCCUGAGUUAUGUCAGAUCUUCUGCUGCCCAUUGUGUCCCCAGGAUUUGGAUAGACUCAGGCAUAGUCCUUGGGCAAAUGUCUUUUCUGUGAGCCUGGGCCUCAGAACCUCCUAUGCACCACUAGGAAUUCUGCUCUAUCUCUCCCAGAAUAAAUGGCCUUCUUGGGGAUGGUACCCAAGCUACUGAAAUUUGGAAGCAUUUAUUCAUUCACUCAUUCAUUCAACAAACACUUACAGAAUGUUAGCCGUUGUGAGAGCACAUGCAGCAGAAGUUGCUCUGUCAACAAUGUUGAGGAAAUUCACAGAGGAGUGUUGGGGAUGACGAUAAGGAAAACAAAGCUCUUUCCUGACACUAAGAUCCUAUGCUUUUAAAGAAAAAGGUGAGAAAAAGAAAGGGUAAAUAACAUAAUCUGAUGAUCAACAUAUAACCAAGCAACCAGAUACUAUAAUAAAGCAAUUGCUUUAAUAACUAUUAUUGCAAAAGGUAUUGAAACAAUAGAUGCAAAUGUCUCCUGAGAAUGGUAAAACUUCUCCCUGUGAUUUCCCUGCCAGAACUGCAUAAUCUGAAUCUAAUUACCA